rnacentral:rRNA from 1 species
GACGAACGCUGGCGGCGUGCCUAAUACAUGCAAGUUGAGCGCUGAAGGUUGGUACUUGUACCAACUGGAUGAGCAGCGAACGGGUGAGUAACGCGUGGGGAAUCUGCCUUUGAGCGGGGGACAACAUUUGGAAACGAAUGCUAAUACCGCAUAAAAACUUUAAACACAAGUUUUAAGUUUGAAAGAUGCAAUUGCAUCACUCAAAGAUGAUCCCGCGUUGUAUUAGCUAGUUGGUGAGGUAAAGGCUCACCAAGGCGAUGAUACAUAGCCGACCUGAGAGGGUGAUCGGCCACAUUGGGACUGAGACACGGCCCAAACCCCUACGGGAGGCAGCAGUAGGGAAUCUUCGGCAAUGGACGAAAGUCUGAACGAGCAACGCCGCGUGAGUGAAGAAGGGUUUCGGAUCGUAAAACUCUGUUGGUAGAGAAGAACGGUGGUGAGAGUGGAAAGCUCAUCAAGUGACGGUAACUACCCAGAAAGGGACGGCUAACUACGUG